rnacentral:lncRNA from 1 species
UGGAGGCUGAUUAAAAGGAUCAUUAGGAUCUUGACCACCAUAAGGACUCAUACCCAUACCCAUCCCCAUACCAGUCCCCAUACCCAUACCAUAACCACCACCAAAACUGCUGUUAUACAUCCCACCACCACCAUACAUCCCUGAACUCCCAUACAUCCCACCACCACCAUACCCUCCUCUAUUAUACAUGCUACUACCACCAUACAUCCCACCCCCAUACGACGAACCAUACCCACC